rnacentral:rRNA from 1 species
UGGGGAAUAUUGCACAAUGGGCGGAAGCCUGAUGCAGCAACGCCGCGUGAGUGAUGAAGGCCUUCGGGUUGUAAAGCUCUGUCUUUUGGGACGAUAAUGACGGUACCAAAGGAGGAAGCCACGGCUAACUACGUGCCAGCAGCCGCGGUAAUACGUAGGUGGCAAGCGUUGUCCGGAUUUACUGGGCGUAAAGGAUGCGUAGGCGGAUUUUUAAGUGAGAUGUGAAAUACCCGGGCUUAACUUGGGUGCUGCAUUUCAAACUGGGAAUCUAGAGUGCGGGAGAGGAGAAUGGAAUUCCUAGUGUAGCGGUGAAAUGCGUAGAGAUUAGGAAGAACACCAGUGGCGAAGGCGAUUCUCUGGACCGUAACUGACGU